rnacentral:rRNA from 1 species
UGGGGAAUAUUGCACAAUGGGCGCAAGCCUGAUGCAGCCAUGCCGCGUGUGUGAAGAAGGCCUUCGGGUUGUAAAGCACUUUCAGCGAGGAGGAAGGUGGUGAGCUUAAUACGCUUAUCAAUUGACGUUACUCGCAGAAGAAGCACCGGCUAACUCCGUGCCAGCAGCCGCGGUAAUACGGAGGGUGCAAGCGUUAAUCGGAAUUACUGGGCGUAAAGCGCACGCAGGCGGUCUGUUAAGUCAGAUGUGAAAUCCCCGGGCUCAACCUGGGAACUGCAUUUGAAACUGGCAAGCUAGAGUCUCGUAGAGGGGGGUAGAAUUCCAGGUGUAGCGGUGAAAUGCGUAGAGAUCUGGAGGAAUACCGGUGGCGAAGGCGGCCCCCUGGACGAAGACUGACGCUCAGGUGCGAAAGCGUGGGGAGCAAACA